rnacentral:rRNA from 1 species
UACGUAGGGUGCAAGCGUUGUCCGGAAUUAUUGGGCGUAAAGAGCUCGUAGGCGGUCUGUCGCGUCGGCUGUGAAAACCCGGGGCUCAACCCCGGGCCUGCAGUCGAUACGGGCAGACUAGAGUGCGGUAGGGGAGACUGGAAUUCCUGGUGUAGCGGUGAAAUGCGCAGAUAUCAGGAGGAACACCGGUGGCGAAAGCGCCUUGCUGGACCUGCACUGACACUGAGGGACGAAAGCUAGGGGAGCGAAAGGG